CUACGGGUGGCACCAGUGGGGAAUAUUGGACAAUGGGGGAAACCCUGAUCCAGCAAUGCCGCGUGUGUGAAGAAGGCCUGCGGGUUGUAAAGCACUUUCGGUUGGGAGGACUGCUUCUAGCACUAAUAUUGUUGGAAGUUGACGUUACCUUCAGAAGAAGCACCGGCUAACUCCGUGCCAGCAGCCGCGUGUAAUACGGAGGGUGCAAGCGUUAAUCGGAAUUACUGGGCGUAAAGCGCGCGUAGGCGGCUAGAUCAGUCGGGUGUGAAAGCCCCGGGCUUAACCUGGGAACUGCAUCCGAUACUGUCUAGCUUGAGUACAGGAGAGGAGAGUGGAAUUCCACAUGUAGCGGUGAAAUGCGUAGAUAUGUGGAGGAACACCAAUGGCGAAGGCAGCUCUCUGGCCUGAUACCGACGCUGAGGUGCGAAAGCGUGGGGAGCAAACAGGAUUAGAUACCCGGGUAGUC
rnacentral:rRNA from 1 species